ACAGAGGUCCCAAGCGUUGUUCGGAUUCACUGGGCGUAAAGGGUGCGUAGGUGGCGGGAAAAGUUUGAUGUGAAAUCUCCGGGCUUAACCCGGAAAUGGCAUUGGAUACUGUCUUGCUCGAGUGUCGGAGAGGAGAGUGGAAUUCUCGGUGUAGCAGUGAAAUGCGUAGAUAUCGGGAGGAACACCGGUGGCGAAGGCGAUUUUCUGGACGUCUACUGACUCUGAGGCACGAAAGCGUGGGGAGCAAACAG
rnacentral:rRNA from 1 species